rnacentral:rRNA from 1 species
AUUGAACGCUGGCGGCAGGCCUAACACAUGCAAGUCGAACGAGUGGCGGACGGGUGAGUAAUGUCUGGGAAACUGCCUGAUGGAGGGGGAUAACUACUGGAAACGGUAGCUAAUACCGCAUACCAUCAGAUGUGCCCAGAUGGGAUUAGCUAUUGGGUGGGGUAACGGCUCACCAAGGCGACGAUCCCUAGCUGGUCUGAGAGGAUGACCAGCAACACUGGAACUGGGAAACGGUCCAGACUCCUACGGUGGGUACCAGUGGGGAAUAUUGCACAAGGGGCGCAAGCCUGAUGCAGCCAUGCCGGGUGUAGGAAGAAGGCCUUCGGGUUGUAAAGUACUUGCAGCGGGGAGACGUUACCCGCAGAAGAAGCACCGGCUAACUCCGUGCCAGCAGCCGCGGUAUAC